UCAAUAUGGUGACCUCCUGGAAGCAGGAGAGCACCAAGUUGCCUAAGGAGGGGUGAACCGGCCCAGGUCAGAAACGGAGCAGGUCAAAAUUCCCA
rnacentral:SRP_RNA from 1 species